rnacentral:lncRNA from 1 species
UGAACAAGCACCCAAAUUCCAAUUUCAUUGUUUUGGUAUGUUUUUUAACUUGCACAUAGGGUUGGGAAUAGGCCAGGCCGACCUACAGGGGCCUAUGGCCUGGCCUGUUUAAGUCUGGUCUGGCCUGUUUAUUAAAAAGGCUAUGUUUAGGCUUUUUAAAAAGUCUAUUUAAGUAAAUAGGUCAAGCUUAGGCUAUCAAAAAAGCCUAUGAAGCCUAAUAGGCCGGCCUGUUUAUGCAUGUUAGGCUUCAUAGUUGACUUUUUAAAUAGGCUUUAAAACUUUAUAAUGAAAUAGGCUUUUAAGGCCUUAUAGUAGUGAUAGACAAGUCUUACACUGAAAUAGGCUUUGAGGCCUAUUAUGCAUAUUUAAAAGUAGAUAAAUGGAAUGUUUAGUGACAUUAAUAGUAAAUAGGCUUUCAUGCCAAGUCAGGCUUUUAAAUAGGUCAGACCAGACCAAAAAAAUAGGCCUAUGAAAGACCAUAGGUCAGACUCAGGCCUGCAAAUUUUUUCGUAGGUCAGGCUCAAACCUAUCAAAGCCUGACCUGACCUAGCCUAUUCUCAACCCUACUUGCACAUAUCAUUCGUGUCGAACUGCUAUCCAUGCUUUUAUAUGUUUUUUGUCUUCAAGAACAAAAAGACAUGUACAAACAAGCCACGCGUUAUUGUACAUAUAUAAUUGUUGUAGCACGUGGAAAAGGAGAAGACAAGAUGUGCUAAGGAACCGAUAAGAAGAAGGCCCUUGAACAGUUAUGCGGCUUCCACUAUUGGAUAUGGAGUUGCUUGUGCUUUUUUUCUAAAAAAUUGGGAUUUCGGUGCUUGUUCAUAAAUAAAGUCAGAAAGAAAAUCAGC